rnacentral:rRNA from 1 species
UACGUAGGGACCAAGCGUUGUUCGGAUUUACUGGGCGUAAAGGGCGCGUAGGCGGCUUGUCAAGUCACUUGUGAAAUCUCUGGGCUUAACCCAGAACGGCCAAGUGAAAACUGUCAUGCUAGAGUGCAGAAGGGGCAAUCGGAAUUCUUGGUGUAGCGGUGAAAUGCGUAGAUAUCAAGAGGAACACCUGAGGUGAAGACGGGUUGCUGGGCUGACACUGACGCUGAGGCGCGAAAGCCAGGGGAGCAAACGGG